GACGAACGCUGGCGGCGUGCCUAAUACAUGCAAGUUGAGCGAUGAAGAUUGGUGCUUGCACCAAUUUGAAGAGCAGCGAACGGGUGAGUAACGCGUGGGGAAUCCGCCUUUGAGCGGGGGACAACAUUUGGAAACGAAUGCUAAUACCGCAUAACAACUUUAAACAUAAGUUUUAAGUUUGAAAGAUGCAAUUGCAUCACUCAAAGAUGAUCCCGCGUUGUAUUAGCUAGUUGGUGAGGUAAAGGCUCACCAGGGCGAUGAUACAUAGCCGACCUGAGAGGGUGAUCGGCCACAUUGGGACUGAGACACGGCCCAAACUCCUACGGGAGGCAGCAGUAGGGAAUCUUCGGCAAUGGACGAAAGUCUGACCGAGCAACGCCGCGUGAGUGAAGAAGGGUUUCGGAUCGUAAAACUCUGUUGGUAGAGAAGAACGUUGGUGAGAGUGGAAAGCUCAUCAAGUGACGGUAACUACACAGAAAGGGACGGCUAACUACGUG
rnacentral:rRNA from 1 species